ensembl:lncRNA DELEC1 deleted in esophageal cancer 1
GAAAUCUUAGAGUGAGAGGACAUAAUUUUCUCCUUCCAAUAUCUCCUUCUGGCUGACUAAGAUAAAAUGGAUAAAUGGGAUGGCAAAUACACGGAUAAAGUACUCCACACCAGGCUCCAGCUCCUGGAUGAUGGUGGACGUCUGGUCCCCAGGCACACGGAACUGCAUUUCCAGACCACCCUCGUGGGUGGGCGUGUACACGACAAGGGCACCCAGAUUCAAAUUCAGCUGAAGGACGGUUGCACCCUCAGGCUCCAUCUGGCUUGAGAACCAUUUGUUGUAGUGUGUGAAAUCAGAUGAGACUCACAUCCUGUUAUACCAGGCUCCUUCACAUUUGAUCUCUGUGCAAUUUGAUAAGAGGAGGGAAUGGGCCGUCAAUUAUGAAGAGACUGAAAACCUGAAAAUACUGAGUAUGGUCUUAGUUCCCUCUCCAAAGGGAGCUCAGGAAAAAUGCCAAGCCAUACAAGCCACUGAUUACUCAUCUAGCUAUUGUUUCUACCUCACCCUGGCCCAGGAAGACAGAUCUACUGAGGAAAGAUGGGCUGUCACUCUGUCAACCUAGGCUAGAGUGCAGUGGUGCAACUUUGGCCUGCUGCAGCUUCAACCUCAUGUGCUCAAGCAAUCCUGCUACCUCAGCCUCCAGAGUAUGGGACUACAGCCCUGAACACUCUGCGGCUUCUCUGAGAAACCCUAUCGAAGGGGAUGUGGAAUCCCAGAGCUACUCUUGCUAUCAACUCGCCGCAUGACCUUGGGAAAAUCAUUUCACCUGGUUCAGCAAUGAUUUACUGAGCUAUUGAAGGCCUUACUUUCCAGAUCCAGUGGCAGGACAUGAAGGGGACAGAGCGAAAACCCUCAGCCCACAUUUACUACUAGUAAGCCAUGAAAUAAACAAGUCCUGACCAUCCUUACCACAUGUUUUCUUGGAACAAAAGGGAUGUGGGUAUGACAGAUCCAACUUUUGCUAUGAACUGUGAACUAGCAUAUUUUUAACUUGGCUUCUGAGGUUGGUGAAGGAAACUUUCUUGUCCUUUGCUAAUAAAAUGCAGAUGGUUCUUCUUCCAAAG